UACGUAGGGGCGGCGACGUUGUCCGGAAUUACUGGGCGUAAAGCGCGCGUAGGCGGCGCCGCACGACGGCUGUGAAAGCCCCCGGCUCAACUGGGGAGGGUCGGUCGUAACGGCGGUGCUUUUGAGUGUGGGAGAGGGAAGUGGAACUCCGGGGAGUAGCGGUGAAAUGCGCAGAUAUCAGGAGGAACACCGGUGGCGAAGGCGGGUCUCUGGACCGAUACUGACGCUGAGGAGCGAAAGCGUGGGGGAGCGAACAGG
rnacentral:rRNA from 1 species